rnacentral:rRNA from 1 species
UGCGUAACAGCUCACUAGUCGAGUGACUCUGCGCGGAAAAUACUCGGGCAUCAAAUAUAUCACCGAAGCUGUGGAUCAGAAAUGAUGGUAGGGGAGCAUUCUAAUGGCGGAGAAGCUGUGCUGUGAGGCAUGGUGGAGCGAUUAGAAAAGAAAAUGUAGGCAUGAGUAACGAUAAAACAGGUGAAAGUCCUGUUCACCGAAAGACCAA